rnacentral:misc_RNA from 1 species
GAAAUGCAACGGAUACGAAUACAAAUACAGAAAUCAACGCGUCGCGCUCGUUCUAACGCCAAACCGACAAACUCGACAAGUGUGUUGGUUAUUCAACACUUGUUCGACGCUUUUAAAUGUGGUAGACGUCUGCGGUCAGCCAUCGCUUAUAAGUAGGCUAAGAAUUAUCGUCGAGAAGUCAGUUCAAGUUUGACUACGGUCGAGAGAAGACAUUCUUACCCGUGGACCGUACGAGAAACAAGGAGGAUAACCGUCCGUUGCAAUAGUUUUGAUUUCAAAGAGAAUCCGAUAAAUCCACGAUGUCGAAAAUCGUUCUUUUCCUAUGCGUCGCUCUUCUGGUCGGAAGCGUUAUCUCAGCUUCGCCCGGCAGAACUCGAUCUAGUUCAUCUUUGACCGCUGACACACAGAAUUGCGGCCGUCACGGUGAUCCCUGUGUGUCGGCUGAUCAAUGUUGCGGCACUUUGAGGUGCCACACUUACGCUCAUAGAUGCCAAGUCGUCAUCACGGAAGCCGAGAUUUUGGCACAGCGCGAAAAAAUUCUUGGACGCCGAGGAAAAGACAAUUAAAAUUAUAUACGUCACAUCCGACGAGCGACGAGCGAGGACGAAUAACUAACAAAUCAAGGGAUAAACGAAGGGAAUCGAAUCCAUGUCCAAAUAUCAUUAAACUGUACGUGUGAUUUGAAUAAAGACAACUCGUUGAGUAAAAAAAAACAUUUCCAUCCAUCUCGUACACGGUGGAGAUAAUAUUUUUUUUUUAUUUCUCCUCUUUUACGAGGAAAGAUUUCGACGAUGACGUAAGCACGUGGAGUUAUAGUUUUUUACGUUGCGAUCGCCUCUUGUGUUUGGUGCCGCGAGAUAAGGUCUUAUCGGUGAUUUUUACUUAUCGUUACUUCCAUAAAAUGCCUAAUAUACACCUUGCCAUAUGUCAUGGUAUGGGAGGCAAAGGACAUGCGGGGGGAAACAGGGGUGCACACCCACCUGUGUUUUAAAUUCCAUGCACGUACGGAAUUAUCGAUCCGAGUAUCCUAGUCUCUACUGUUCUAAAAAAUUGACGACCGAUCGAAACACGAAAUACGAGUUCGGCGUCGUAUUAUUAUACUAAAAUCGUGCAGCGAAAUGAGCGCCGACCGAGAUAUUGGUGCCGUUCGAUUUUGCGAAAUUAGCGAAUCGUGCCGUUGAGAACGGUGCGAUAAUAUUUUAUUCCUUUGCUCAUCGGUUUCGAAAAUGUCAGCCCAUAUUUUACAUGACAGAUCGUGACUGGACUGAAAACAUCAUUCAAGACGUUACCAUUGAUGUCUAUGGAUUAAAUAAAAACGACGAUUUGCAAAAAUCGAAUAAAAAUUAAGGAGUUGGAAAAUUCAAAAAGCUAAGCAUACUCCGAGGUAAGUCUGGAUGAGUAGGUAGCACGAAAAUAUUGAAAAUCAAAGAGGCACUUCCUGUACUUCGCCACCUUCAGAUUUCUCUUGCGACUCGCCUUGGGAGGACGAACGAAAAGAGAAAAAAAUUCGCCGUCUCCGUUUCGCCUGAUAUCGAAUGGCAAUUUUCACGGUCUACCGAGCACGG